CCAGAUGCUGUUUUGCUUCACUGUGGUGGCAAUGAUAUUAGACUUGUUAACUGUGCAAAACUUCUAUUUGAUAUUAAAUUUAUGGUAGAUAUAGUUGUACGUAUGGUGAAUGGAGGUAAACUUAUUUUUUCAAGCAUUUUACCAAGGUUGAAAUGAAGAUAUUUAAAUGAUUUCAAAGCAAUGGAUGCAACCAGGAAAUGUAUAAAUAGGGGAGUUAAAUCACAUUUAAAUAAAACUGGGGG
rnacentral:lncRNA from 1 species